rnacentral:lncRNA from 1 species
UACUGCUUUGACAACCUCAACUUCUGAGUCUUAUCUUAGGGAGGGGCACGCUUUUCUCAAUUAACACGCAGAGUGAAAGAGCCCUCUUCUGUAUAGUCAAAGCUGAGUCUAAAAGAAGAUUCAGCUUCUAGGAAGGGAGAAAGAAAUAAUCCAAGACUGCGAUUUCCUCUAAACAAAAGAGGUAGCUGUGGCCCACUCCCCCUGCACUGAUGACAAUGUGGUCACGGGACCAUACCAAGCUGCAAGGGGUGCUGGGAAAUGCAGCCUCCAGCUGGCACUCCUGCUACAGAACUGAAACUUUGUUACACGGCAGGAAGUAAGAAAGGAUUCUGGUGGAGCAAUCCCUCAUUGUGGCAUGGAUUUAGGGCUCCACCAAAAUACUUUCUCAUUUUCUCCCACCUUUUGCCAGCAAUGUCGUUACGUUUUAACAUUUCCAUUAAGCACAGUGAGACAGCUCACACAGAGCAGAAUCUCCAUGCCUCUCCUCCUGGCUCCCAGAGGCCAUUGCUCUAUCACUAUGGAGCAAGUCCAGUCCUGCCUUUACCCUCCUUCUUCCUUGAUGCACUACUCAUUGUUGCCAGGAAAUCAAACAUUGUUGCUAUGGGUUUCCAACUUGCUAGUUGGCCCCAAGUGCUGCACAUGCUGAAAAUGAGCACACAUCAUUGACUGAUGAGACAUUAGGAAACCAUCAGUUCUAGCACACGUGUCACUCAGAUCUCAAUGGUAGGUAAUAAUGAUAAGUACCAUACACCAGUGCCCACUAUAAUCAAGACUUUGCGUCUGGUGCUCUACAUACAUUUUCUUUAAUCUCUUAAACUGUGUUUCUAGGCAGUUUCUGGGAUUAUUUCCCGAAAUCCUUGUUCCUCACUCUGGAAGGAACAGGAACUAUACUAGUCAUCUUAGAUUAAUCAUUAUUUACCCCUGGAGCUAAAGAGAGACGCACAUAACGUAUGAGUGUUCAGCAUUACAGAACAUCAGGGCUCAGAUAGCUAGGUAAAAUUUUUUGGGGACCCAACUUCGACGUGUGUGGCAAGGUUCUUUUUUCUCUACACCAUCAAGCAAUUCUCAGACACCAGCUGGGGGUCCUAAAAUUCAACUCACUUCUGAACUAUUGACCCAGAGAUGGUGUCUACAGGUUAAGGGUUCAGUCCUACAUGACCACCCCUUCCACCUCUACCUCAGAUGCCAGUUGCAAGCUCAGGUUGUCACCUGUGCUUUUGACCUAGUAGUUACAGAUUGGAGGUUCUAAGGACCCCUUCCUUGGGUUCGAUUAAUUUGCGUAGUAGUUAGGCUGUCUUUGGGUCUGGGUCAAGUCCUCUGCCAACCCGUGCACAGACUUUGCUCAAUUUGUGAUAAGCUUCCCCCUCUGGUUAGCUGCAGCCUCAUGGAUACACUUGGCUGCUAGAAGGCAGGUCUGUGUGAUGUAGCCAGGGUCAGGGCCUUGGUUUAUGAGCAGAACUCUAGCUGAAUCUCACCCUGCAACCCCCCGCUCCUGGAUGGACCAGGUACCUUUGUGUGGUGCUCGAGCUGUGCAGCCACACACAGCAAGCAGCUCUGCCGGGGGCCAUACAUUCGUCUCUGGUUCCCAGUUACCUAGUACAGGGCCUGGGCAUGACCUUGAGAGUCACUUAACUUUUGUCAGACUUAUUUCCUCAUCUGUAAUAUAGUGGUUUUUAAUAAGAUAUUGUCAUAGGACUUUUCUGAUAAUCGAAUGGACAGAACAUGCAAAGCAAGGGCUCUGUGGUCAGGUUGACUUGAGUCCAAAUCCUAACUUCGUUUUAAUAAGGGGUGUGGCUUUGGGAAGGUUACUAAAUCUUCUGAACCUCUUUCUCAUCUGGGGAUAACAACAGUGCUUACCUCAUGGGGUUAAUAAGAAGAUUCAAUGAGAAAAUAUAUCUGUAAUACAAAACCUUGCAUUCAAUCAAUUUUAGUUAUUAUUACUACUAAUAAUUUUUAUGUAUAGCCCCAAUGUAGUUCCUGAAUAUACUAAAUGAUAAAAAAACCCAAAACUAUCAGCUGAUAAAUAAAUGGAGGUGGAACUAGCUGAAGCUGGUUGGUCACGUCUGAGGGAGCAGAUUUAGUUUUAUCCCCAAGGACUACCUUUGGUAACUAUCCCACCCUACUCCCUGGGGGCCUGGAGUAACCAGGGGUGACUUGGGUACCUAUACUAGCCAAUCUUUGUGUUCCACCUAAGCACAGCGGUUCUCACAAAGGUGGGCAAGGAUCAAGUACAGCCACUUGGGGGGUUACCUUUCAAUGAUGAAUGUACCUGCUGCUGGAGGAGAAAGGGUCUCUCUCUGGAAUUGUAAGCAAGAGGGCCUGAGCUGUGGGUCGGCAUCUAGCUACCAGUGAGCAGUUUGCCCACCUCAUGGAGAGAGGCUGCUACAGCUCAUCCACAAAAAAGCAGAGCUGAGUGGUGGAGCCGAGUAACAGAGCUGUAACGGCUUUGCUUUAAUCCUGGAUCUAGCCAUACCUGAUGCUACCAUGACACUUUUUUCCCAACUAGAUAAUCCUAUUCUUUCUUUUCCUUUUUUUUUUUUUUAAACUGAAGUUAUUUCAGUUGGAUUUCUCUCAUUUGCAACUGAAAGGGCCGUAUUAAAGGUCCUAUUGAUAAACAUAACCAGAAAGUAUUAUGACUGAAUAUUUGAAAUGUAGUAGUAACAAUACUUGUAAUAGGCAAUAUUCAUUGAGAUUUACUAGAUGCUCAGCACUAUUCUUAGUGCUUCGUUCAUUGGUUCACAUGUAUCAACUCAUUUAGGCCUUAGGACUGUUUGAGGUUGGCAUUGGUAUUCCCAUUUCGCAGAUGGGAAAACUGAGGUACAGAAAGUUUUCUUGGCCAGUGAUUUCAGAGUCAGGAUUAAACUUACACAUUCAAAGGAAUGCUGAAUCAUUCAAAACACUUAAUUUGUAAUGUUUUUCAAAUGAUGCUGACAUUACUUAAAACGUUUUUGAAAUGCUUUGAAAAAGAAAUAUUAUCAGAGCCAGUUUAUUUCAGAAAAUAAACAUCACUGUGUGUAAUCACACUUUGUGCUUGGCCAGAAGGGCAUUCCUCCACUUGCUUAAUUACUUUCUUUACUACUUGUGACCCUCGAUGGUAUUUAGCUGUUCAUGCAUAUCCUCCCUUAAAGGACACAUGUCCUUUACUGUUGAGAGGAAUGUGACGUGGGCCCUGAAGGCGAUACUAAAAGGCAGACCUCCAAACCUGUUUGUGCAAGGUAUGCAUUUUUUUUUCACGUGAAAAAUUGAAGUAUAGUUAACACAUAAUGUGUUAGUUUCAAAUAUACAGUAAAGUGAUUCAGAUAUAUGUAUUCUUUUUCAGAUUCUCUUCCAUUAUAAGUUAUUAUAAGAUACUGAGUAUAGUUUACUGCACUCUACAGCAGGGCCUGGUUUAUCUAUUCUCUAUAUAGUAGUGUGCAUAUGUUAAUCCCAGACUCCUAAUUUAUCUCCUGCCCCCACCCUCCACCCCAACUGCUGCAAUCCCCUUUGCUAACCAUAAGUUUGUUUUUCAUGUCUUUAAGUCUAUUUCUGUUUGUAAAUAAGUUCAUUUGUAUCAUUUUAAAUUUCAUUUUUAAUAAUUCAAUGAAUUUUAUUGUAUUUAUAGGUACAACCAUCAUCAUAACUUAAUUUUAGAACAUUUUCAUCCCAAACCCCUAGUUCAUCCCUCCCUCCCCCACUCCUGUCCCUUUUGGUAAUUUUAAGUUUUUCAAAGUCUGUGAGUGUGAGUCUGUUUUUGUUCUGCAAAUAAAUUCAUUUGUAUCAUUUUUAAAAAUUCCACAUAUAAAAGAUAGCAUAUAUUUAUCUUUGCCUGACUUAGUUCAUUUAAUAGGAUAAUCUUUGUUUUAUUUUUUAUUUUUUAUUUUUUUUUUUGUCUUUUUGCUAUUUCUUGGGCCACUCCCGCGGCAUAUGGAGGUUCCCAAACUAGGGGUUGAAUCGGAGCUGGAGCCACCAGCCUACGCCAGAGACACAGCAGCGCGGGAUCCGAGCCGCGUCUGCAAUAAUAGGAUAAUCUUUAGAUCCAUCCAUAAAGUAUAAUUUUGAAAAGGACAUUUGAAUACAUAAAUUACUGUAUAUGCUGUUUUAAAAACAAAUCAAUCACAUUAUGUUAUGCCCACAUAUUAUUUUUUCUUUUUAAAUAUGUAUCCAAUAGAGGCUUGGCAUCAUGGCAUUGGCUUUAGGGACCCUGGUGACUCCAUCUGGUGUCUCAGUUAAGCCUGAGGAAGCCUAUCUUACUCCAGAAGCAGAAAGGUAAGGUUGAGAAAGGAAUAGUCCAUUGAUGUGGCUGUCACGUGGGUGAAAACUUCCAGGAGUCCAACAGAAGGAACUCUGAGAAAAAGUUGCAGAAAUGACUUCCACCUCUAACCAAAUCUUCAAGAGGCAUUUUCUAGUGCGGAAAGAUGAGAAAUGGAGAUAUUUCCCCAGAUAUUAUGGAAAUCAUUUAAAACAUUCAAAAAAGUUGAAAGAUGAGUAUUUACCACCUUUGUUCAAUAUCUGUUGGCAUUUUUUGGUAUAGAUGUGUGUUCGUGUGUGUGUAAGCACGCUUGUGUGUAUAAAUAAAUAUAUGUGUGUGUAUAAGAUUUUAAAAUUUGGAGUUCCCAUCGUGGCUCAGCGGAAAUGAAUCUGACUAGCAUCCAUGAGGACACAGGUUCAAUUCCUGGCCUUGCUUAGUGGGUUAAGGAUCCAGCGUUGCCAUGAGCUGUGGUGUAGGUCGAAGACAGACCUCGUAUCUGGCGUGGCUAUGGCUGUGGUGUAGGCCAGAAGCUGCAGCUCUGAUUUGACCCCUAGCCUGAGAACCUCCAUAUGCUGCAGCAGCAGCCCUAAACAAACAAACAAACAAACAGAUUUUAAAAUUUGUUAAACCACUUGAAAAUAAUUUUCAGACAUUGGGACCCUUUACCACUAACUCACUGUGCUAAAGAUGAGGACAUUCUCCAACACCAGACCAUCAUCACACUGGAGACAAUAUUCCCGAUAUCAUUUAAAAUCUUGUCUAUACCCAGUUUUCCCCCAGAUGUCCAUAUACCAUCUUUUAUAGGAGUUUUUUGGUCCACCUCCUCUAAACCAGCAUCUAAUUACUUUGUUGCGUGGCUGUUACCUCUCUGUAUUCUCUUUCAUGCUAAAAGAAUUGUGCUCAUUUAUUUAUUUAUUUAACAGUGCCCCUU